rnacentral:rRNA from 1 species
UGGGAGCAAACAGGGAUUAGAUACCCCUGUAGUCCACGCCGUAAACGAUGUCAACUAGCCGUUGGGAGCCUUGAGCUCUUAGUGGCGCAGCUAACGCAUUAAGUUGACCGCCUGGGGAGUACGGCCGCAAGGUUAAAACUCAAAUGAAUUGACGGGGCCCGCACAAGCGGUGGAGCAUGUGGUUUAAUUCGAAGCAACGCGAAGAACCUUACCAGGCCUUGACAUCCAAUGAACUUUCUAGAGAUAGAUUGGUGCCUUCGGGAACAUUGAGACAGGUGCUGCAGGCUGUCGUCAGCUCGUGUCGUGAGAUGUUGGGUUAAGUCCCGUAACGAGCGCAACCCUUGUCCUUAGUUACCAGCACGUUAUGGUGGGCACUCUAAGGAGACUGCCGGUGACAAACCGGAGGAAGGGGGGAUGACGUCAAGUCA